rnacentral:tRNA from 1 species
GCGUCCGUAGCUCAAUUGGAAGAGCACCUGCCUUUUCAGCAGGGGUUGCCAGUUCAAGUCUGGUCGGGCGCU